CCCUCCAAACAAACCCUAAAGCUAUCACCCGUUGCUGUGUGAGAGAGAAGAUCUCGUCAAAUCCAAAAUGAUUAUCAAGCUUCAACCCUAAAGCUCACAGCCAUCGCCGCCUCCAUCGCCACCGCCAACACCACCACUAUAUCCAUUCGUGUCCUUGCCGCCACCGCAUGCUUCGAUAAUCUCUUUUUCCGUUGUCUCCUCUGUCGAUGCAUCGCCUCCUUUGGUCGCGACACGAUAUUUAGUUUGAUUGUGUUAGAUGGAAGAGCCUGUCGUAGUUAACAAAGGCAAGGAGCCGCUGGAUUUGCCACCAGGUUUCGGACUCCACCCAACAGAUGAAGAAAUCAUCACUUAUUACCUCACCGAGAAGGUCAUGAACAGCAACUUCAGUGCAACUGCCAUAGGUGAAGCCGAUUUGAACAAAUCCGGACCUUGGGAUUUACCAAGUAAGAAGUAGUAAUAUUAUGUCCGUACAUGAGCAGUUAGUUAGUUAUGACUUAUGAGUUAUGACUGGUUAUUUUGAUUAUUAUUUGGUGUGCAGAAAAAGCAAAGAUGGGAGAGAAGGAGUGGUACUUCUUUUGUCAGAAAGGUGACAUCACAGAUUGAAAAACAAGCUGUGAAGUAAUGCAGAAAAUUAAGAACAAAGUUGGUUACUUGUUUAGAGAAAAAAAA